UCUUUGAUUGCCCAUUGAGGAAUCAACUAUAAGUCCAUUCAUUGGCCAUUGUUCCUAUGAUUUGGAAGGGAUUGAGUGUAAGCCCAUUUCAUUGGCCACUUAUGUCCUCUUUGCUUAGUGCUUUUGUUUGUUUGUUGUAUGUGAGGAUUCAAUUGUAAGACCAUGUUUUUGGCAUUUGUAUUCCCAUGAUCAUCUGUUGGAGAUUGGAGUAAGCCCAUAUAUUGGCAUCU
rnacentral:lncRNA from 1 species